CCGUAGCUCAGCUGGAUAGAGCAACGCCCUUCUAAGGCGUUGGUCGAAGGUUCGAAUCCUUCCGGGU
rnacentral:tRNA from 2 species